rnacentral:rRNA from 1 species
GUAAGGAAUAUUGGACAAUGGAUGCAAGUCUGAUCCAGCCAUGCCGCGUGAAGGAUUAAGGUCCUCUGGAUUGUAAACUUCUUUUAUAAGGGACGAAAAAAGGCUUUUCUAAGUCGUCUGACGGUACCUUAUGAAUAAGCACCGGCUAACUCCGUGCCAGCAGCCGCGGUAAUACGGAGGGUGCAAGCGUUAUCCGGAUUCACUGGGUUUAAAGGGUGCGUAGGCGGGCAGGUAAGUCAGUGGUGAAAUCCUAGAGCUUAACUCUAGAACUGCCAUUGAUACUAUCUGUCUUGAAUAUUGUGGAGGUAAGCGGAAUAUGUCAUGUAGCGGUGAAAUGCUUAGAUAUGACAUAGAACACCUAUUGCGAAGGCAGCUUACUACGCAUAUAUUGACGCUGAGGCACGAAAGCGUGGGGAUCAAACAGGAUUAGAAACCCUGGUAGUCC